AGAGUGAACGCUGGCGGUAGGCCUAACACAUGCAAGUCGAACGGCAGCACAGUAGGAGCUUGCUCUUACGGGUGGCGAGUGGCGGACGGGUGAGAAAUACAUCGGAAUCUACCUUUUGGUGGGGGAUAACGUAGGGAAACUUACGCUAAUACCGCAUACGCCCUUCGGGGAAAGCCGGGGACCGGCAAUGGCCUGGCGCUGAUAGAUGAGCCGAUGUCGGAUUAGCUAGUUGGUGAGGUAAUGGCUCACCAAGGCGACGAUCCGUAGCUGGUCUGAGAGGAUGAUCAGCCACACUGGAACUGAGACACGGUCCACGACUCCGUACGGGAGGCAGACGAGGUAGGGAAUAGUUAGGACAAGU
rnacentral:rRNA from 1 species